rnacentral:rRNA from 1 species
AAUAUUGGACAAUGGGGGCAACCCUGAUCCAGCCAUGCCGCGUGUGUGAAGAAGGUCUUCGGAUUGUAAAGCACUUUAAGUUGGGAGGAAGGGCUUUAGGCUAAUAUCCUGAAGUUUUGACGUUACCAACAGAAUAAGCACCGGCUAACUCUUUGCCACAAGCCGCGGUUAUACGGAGGGUGCAAGCGGUAAUCGGAAUUACUGGGCGUAAAGCGCGCGUAGGUGGUUCAGUAAGAUGGGUGGUAAAACCCCGGGCUUAACCUGGGAACUGCUUUCAUAACUGCUGAGCUAGAGUACGGUAGAGGGUAGUGGAAUUUCCUGUGUAGCGGUGAAAUGCGUAGAUAUAGGAAGGAACACCAGUGGCGAAGGCGACUACCUGGACUGAUACUGACACUGAGGUGCGAAAGCGUGGGGAGCAAAC